UACGUAGGGCGCAAGCGUUUGUCCGGAAUUAUUGGGCGUAAAGAGCUCGUAGGCGGUUUGUCGCGUCUGCUGUGAAAACUCGAGGCUCAACCUCGGGCUUGCAGUGGGUACGGGCAGACUAGAGUGCGGUAGGGGUGACUGGAAUUCCUGGUGUAGCGGUGGAAUGCGCAGAUAUCAGGAGGAACACCGGUGGCGAAAGGCGCCACUCUGGGGCCGAAACUGACGCUGAGGAGCGAAAGCGUGGGUAGCAAACAGG
rnacentral:rRNA from 1 species